rnacentral:rRNA from 1 species
UACGGGGGGGGCAAGCGUUGUUCGGAAUUACUGGGCGUAAAGGGCUCGUAGGCGGCCAACUAAGUCAGACGUGAAAUCCCUCAGCUUAACUGGGGAACUGCGUCUGAUACUGGAUGGCUUGGAUUCGGGAGAGGAAUGCGGAAUUCCAGGUGUAGCGGUGAAAUGCGUAGAUAUCUGGAGGAACACCGGUGGCGAAGGCGGCAUCCUGGACCGACACUGACGCUGAGGAGCGAAAGCCAGGGGAGCAAACGGG